GAUGAACGCUGGCGGCGUGCCUAAUACAUGCAAGUCGAGCGAACGGACGAGAAUCUUGCUUCUCUGAUGUUAGCGGCGGACGGGUGAGUAACACGUGGAUAACCUACCUAUAAGACUGGGAUAACUUCGGGAAACCGUAGCUAAUACCGGAUAAUAUUUUGAACCGCAUGGUUCAAAAGUGAAAGACGGUCUUGCUGUCACUGAUAGAUGGAACCGCGCUGCAUUAGCUAGUUGGUAAGGUAACGGCUUACCAAGGCAACGAUGCAUAGCCGACCUGAGAGGGGGAUCGGCCACACUGGGACUGAGCCACGGUCCAGACUCCGACGGGAGGCAGCAGUAGGGAAUCUUGCGCGAUGGGCGAAAGCCUGACGGAGCAACGCCGCGUGAGUGAUGAAGGUCUUCGGAUGGUAAAACUCUGUUAGGAGGGAAGAACAUAUGUGUAAGUAGCUGUGCACGUCGUGACGGUACCUAAUGAGAAAGCAACGGCUAACUACGUG
rnacentral:rRNA from 1 species